rnacentral:rRNA from 1 species
GAUGAACGCUGGCGGCGUGCCUAACACAUGCAAGUCGAGCGGAGAUUUCAAGAAGUACUUGUACGGAAAGAGAUCUUAGCGGCGGACGGGUGAGUAACACGUGAGCAAUCUGCCUUCUGCAGGGGAAUAACAUUGUGAAAACAGUGCUAAUACCGCAUGACAUCCGACUGGGGCAUCCCGGACGGAUCAAAGGAGAAAUCCGGCAGAAGAUGAGCUCGCGUCCGAUUAGCUAGUUGGUGAGGUAAUGGCUCACCAAGGCGACGAUCGGUAGCCGAACUGAGAGGUUGAUCGGCCACAUUGGGACUGAGACACGGCCCAGACUCCUACGGGUGGCAG